rnacentral:lncRNA from 1 species
GGCAACUCGCUGGAGUCCUGUUUCACAGGGUGGGGGUUUUGUUCUUUUGCCCUUUGCAGUAAAUCUUGCUGCUACUAACUCUUUGGGUCCACGCUGCCUUUGUGAGCUUUAACACUCACCACGAAGGUCUGCAGCUUCACUCCUGAAGCCAGCGAGACCACGAACCCACACUGAAGGAAGGAAACUCGGAACACAUCCGAACAUCAGAAGGAACAAACUCGACACGUUGCCUUUAAGAACUGUGACACUCACCGCGAGGGUCGGCGUCUCCAUUCUUGAAGUCAGUGAGACCAAGAACCCACCAACCAAUUCCGGACACAAUCUCAGCACUGUGGGAGACUGAGGUGGGUGAAUCAAUUGAGGUCAGGAAUUCGAGACCAGCCAGGCCAACAUGGUUAAACCUCGUCUCUACUAAAAACCCAAAAAUUAGUCCGGGGUUGGGGUGCAGGCCUGUAAUUCCAGCUACUGGAGAGGCUGAGGCAGGAGAAUCGCUUGAACCAGGGGGUCAGAGGUUGCAGUGAGCCGUGAUUGCACCACUGCACUCCAAUCUGGGCGACAAGAGGGAGACUCCGUCUCAAAAAAAAAAACUAAUUGCCAUGUGGUCGGGGUGGUGGUUUUCUUUUUUUUUUUUAGAAGAGUUUUUAGCUGGUUGAGGUAGUUCACAUCGGUAAUCCGAGUAUUUUGGGAGGCUAAGUGAGUGGAUGGCCUGUGCUCAGGAAUUUGAGACCAGCCUGGGCAACAUGGUGAAAACCUGUCUCUACUAAAAGUACAAAUAUUAGCUGGGCGCCAUGACACAUGCCUGUAGUUCCAGCUACUCAGGGAAGCUGAGGCAGGAAGAGCACUUGAGCUGGGGAGACAGAGGCUAUAGGGAGCCAAGAUCGUGCCACUGUACUCCAGCCUGGGCGACGGUGCCAGACCCUGUCUUAAAAAAAUAAAUACAAUAAAUGAAAACGGGAUUUUGUGAGAUUGUGAUGGGUGGUAAGGCAGUGCAAAACAAUAUUACGUGCAUUUGGGAGAAUAGCCUUGAUUUUGCUGAAAAUCUGGAUGACUGAUAAUGAAAUAGGAAGGAACAGCAAUAUUUGAGCAAAAAAAUCUUCAGAAGAAAUAUCUUCUUUUUGAUUCGUAAGAAUUUAUAAGCAUUUUUCAUAGACAACUUCGACUUGUGUUGAAUGUUCAACUAACUUAGACCAGAAGGACAGUUAAAAAAAAAUUUUUUUUAAAGAAAGACAGCCGGGCGUGGUGGCUCACACCUGUUAUCCCAGCAGUUUGGGAGGCUGAGGCAGGCAGAUCACCUGAGGUCAGGAGUUCGAGAACAGCCUGGCUAACAUGGCAAAACCCUGUUUCUAGUAAGAAUACAAAAAUUAGCCGGGCCUGAUGGCACGCACUUGUAAUCCCAGCUACUCAAGAGACUGAGGCCAGAGAAUCGCUUGAACCUGGGAGGCAGAGAUUGCAGUGAGCCAAGAUUGUGCGAUUGCACUCCAUCCUGGGCAACAGAGUGAGACUCUGUCUUAAAAAAUAAUAAUUUGAUUAUUGUUACCUAUCAAACCUGAGUUUUAAACCUUUUGAUUGUGUAAGAAACCUGAAGAGGCCUGAAGAAAAAUUUUUCAUAGUUCUCUGUUUUCAGGUAUAGUGAGUUGAUUAGUUAGCAUUUUUAGUAAAAAUGAU